rnacentral:miRNA from 1 species
AGUGCCUGGCAUAUAGUAGGUGCUCAGUAAGUGUGUGUUGGAUAAUUUUUAAUAGUAAUAGUUUACUAUGGGCCAGCCAGUGUUCUGAGCACU